UGAGAGCGCGUACGGUGCGGAACACGUGUGCACUGCUUAUCUGGGGGAUAGCUUCGAAGGAGAUUAUACCCAUAAUAUGUUGAAUGGCUCUCGACAUUGAAACUCCCGUGGAUAAAGAUGGGCACGCGCAGAUUAAAUAUGUGAGGUACGGUCACCAGUCUACAAUCUUAGGGGGUCUGAAAGGUGAUCCCCAAUGGUACUGAACGCGGACCAGACUCCUACGGGAGGCAGCCAGUGAGGAAUAUUGGACAUGGGUGAGAGCCUGAUCCAGCCCAUCCCGCGUGAAGGACGACUGCCCUAUGGGUUGUAAACUUCUUUUUGUAUAGGGAUAAACCUACCCCUCGUGAAGGGUAGCUGAAAGGUACUUAUACGAAUAAGCACCGGGUUAAUUCCGUGGCCACACCGGCGGGUAAUACGGAGGGUGCACGUUAUCCGGGAUUAUUGGGGUUCUAAAAGGGUCCCGAAGGCGGGNAUCUGGUAAGUUCCAGUGGGGUGAAAUNCUUCACAGGUUUUAACUGGUGGAAACCUGGGCCUUUUGGAUUACCUCUGGGCAGGGUCCUCGGAGUUGGUCGGUUCGAAAUUACUCUGGGAAUUAAGUUA
rnacentral:rRNA from 1 species